GCGUGACCUCGAGAGGCGGCGCAAUGCAGAGCCGUCAAUCCAUCCUUAUCAGAGGCGCCCGCAGCGGCUGAACCACCGGCUCUAAAAUGCGGACGCUUGUUGGUCAAUCAUAAGGAAAAUCUGGACAGUAUCCAAUUGCGUGAGCGAUAAAGUCUCUCUGGAAUUACAUCACUUACGACUGACCCACUGACCUUAGUUGGCCAGUUUUCCAUCCUGUAUAAACUGUGGAGUUGAGAAAAAAAUUGUCUGCCACUUUUGCGAGAAGGCUCAUUUCACAUCAAGAAACUGAUAACGAGCGGAGAAAAUCUUUCUGCCUAUCUAUAAAAGUUUCACGGGAAUCGAUGGAGUUAAAAAAAAAGUAUAGAAAAAAAAGAGAAAUUACCAGUUGCCCAGUGAAGAACACUGUGACCCUCAAAAUCUUUGGCAUUGACAUCGGCACCGUUCGCCAAAAGAACAGCAACCAAUUGUGUAUCACCGGCAAUUACUGCAAGAUGUAAAGGUGUAUGUCCCUCAGCGUCAGGAUGAUUAACCAAUUCAGGUGCCGCCGAUGCGACGGCACCACCAGUUCCGGCAUCCAUGCAAUAAUGAAGUGCACUUCUUAAGAUCUUUGGAGUUUGAAGAAUUAUGACGGAACGGGUCUUCUCUUGAGAGAAUCUGGAAAUCCCAAAGGAUGAGACUUGGGCGGACUAGAAUUCCAUGAGGUUUUCACUCUUGGACGAUGAUUUGGGAACGGUGUCAAUGGGGGCAAGGACACAUCGGCUGCGCG